GCCCGGGCUGCCACCGGCUCCGACCACGACAUGGCCACCAUCCGGCAGCUGCUCCAGCUUGGCGACGUGAAUGCCAAAGCCAGCCAGGCCGGCCAGACGCCCC